rnacentral:piRNA from 1 species
UACGAGGGACCGUGUAUCCAGUCGU